UACGGAGGGUGCGAGCGUUGUCCGGAAUCAUUGGGCGUAAAGGGCGCGUAGGUGGCCCGGUCAGUCUUUGAUGAAAGCGCGGGGCUCAACCCUGCGUCGGCCAGGGAUACUGCCGCGGCUCGAGCACUGUAGAGGCAGGCGGAAUUCCGGGUGUAGCGGUGGAAUGCGUAGAGAUCCGGAAGAACACCGGUGGCGAAGGCGGCCUGCUGGGCAGUUUGGCUGACACUGAGGCGCGACAGCGUGGGGAGCAAACAGG
rnacentral:rRNA from 1 species